UUUUAUCGUUUUUCGACUUUGGCCACAUAACUUUUGUUUUUAACAUUAUAGCUCAAACUUUGACUCUUAUUUACUCUUGUUACAGGAAAGAUGGUGAUGUUGUCUCACCAAAGGCGCUAUUAAACAGGAAAGCUUCAUCAAGAGCAAUAGCUAAACCUGUUGUCAAGAACGUUAUGAGACACUACGAUAUAGGGUCAUCGAAAGCAAAGGAUGAGCAGUCGACCACGGCCAUAUGGAUCCGCCGCAGACAACUUUGACGGCUAAGGACCUCCUUUUAGAGAUGUGUUUGAUGUAACUUUGGUUGCGAGGAAACCAUAGAAAUCACGUAAAGAGGUGCGGAAAGAAUUGGGUAAGGAAGAAUGUGCAGAAGGUGGAACUCAACUCUGGUGGACAAGCUGGAGCUGCCCCCUAUACUUUUUCUUUUAUUUCUUCUCCAAAACUAUACAUUUUUAUAGAACACAAUUUUUUAAUCAUUUUGUCAAAAGAACUUGCAAGUAUCAUAUAAUUGUGGGGAUCCAUUAUCAAGAACUUCCUCCUUAUGCUUGAGUUCUUCUUUGACACCAAUUCAUUCGUUAAGAACUCUGUUUUGACAAAA